CGGGGUGAGUAACACGUGGGUAACCUGCCUCAAACAGGGGAAUAGCCUUCCGAAAGGAAGAUUAAUACCGCAUAACAUAGUUUAGCCGCAUGGCUAGAUUAUCAAAGGAGUAAUCCGGUUUGAGAUGGACCCGCGGCGCAUUAGCUAGUUGGUGAGGUAACGGCUCACCAAGGCGACGAUGCGUAGCCGACCUGAGAGGGUGAUCGGCCACAUUGGAACUGAGAUACGGUCCAA
rnacentral:rRNA from 1 species